UUACCGCUAUCCUUUUUUUCCCCCUACACUAGGAUUAGUGCGGUUAUUGUUUUUGAGCGUCUGUUGGCUGCUGCUUCUUCGCACAUUUGAUACAGUCUCAGUCGUUCUUGCAGUGAGUAGAAGCGUGAUGAGUGUUUGGUGAAGAUGUCGGUUCGCACACGUGGGUCACUUUGUGCCUAUUCUCCUUCGCCAUGCGAGAUUUUGUAAGGGGUCUUGAGGGAUGUCGCAGGCAAUAUGCUCAGAUUCACCGUCUCUCCCGGAGGCUGUUUUAUUUACAUCCACUUCUUCCUCUUUCCGCUCAACGGCGUAACCGUGUUGACGAGGGGGUGUGUUUGGCACGAUAAGAUCGCGAUCGGAUG
rnacentral:misc_RNA from 1 species